rnacentral:rRNA from 1 species
GACAGAGGGUGCAAACGUUGCUCGGAUUGACUGGGCGUAAAGCGCGUGUAGGUGGUCUCGCCAGUCAGGUGUGAAAGCCCAGGGCUCAACCCUGGAAGUGCACCUGAUACUACGAGGCUUGAGUUCUGUAGAGGAGAGCGGAAUUCCCGGUGUAGAGGUGAAAUUCGUAGAUAUCGGGAAGGAACACCAGUGGCGAAGGCGGCUCUCUGGACAGGUACUGACACUGAGACGCGAAAGCGUGGGUAGCAAACAGG